rnacentral:rRNA from 1 species
CUCGGGGGCGGCUUACACAUGCAAGUCGAGCGGGGGAAGGUAGCUUGCUACUGGACCUAGCGGCGGACGGGUGAGUAAUGCUUAGGAAUCUGCCUAUUAGUGGGGGACAACAUCUCGAAAGGGAUGCUAAUACCGCAUACGUCCUACGGGAGAAAGCAGGGGAUCUUCGGACCUUGCGCUAAUAGAUGAGCCUAAGUCGGAUUAGCUAGUUGGUGGGGUAAAGGCCUACCAAGGCGACGAUCUGUAGCGGGUCUGAGAGGAUGAUCCGCCACACUGGGACUGAGACACGGCCCAGACUCCUACGGGAGGCAGCAGUGGGGAAUAUUGGACAAUGGGGGGAACCCUGAUCCAGCCAUGCCGCGUGUGUGAAGAAGGCCUUAUGGUUGUAAAGCACUUUAAGCGAGGAGGAGGCUACUUUAGUUAAUACCUAGAGAUAGUGGACGUUACUCGCAGAAUAAGCACCGGCUAACUCUGUGCCAGCAGCCGCGGUAAUACAGAGGGUGCGAGCGUUAAUCGGAUUUACUGGGCGUAAAGCGUGCGUAGGCGGCUUAUUAAGUCGGAUGUGAAAUCCCCGAGCUUAACUUGGGAAUUGCAUUCGAUACUGGUGAGCUAGAGUAUGGGAGAGGAUGGUAGAAUUCCAGGUGUAGCGGUGAAAUGCGUAGAGAUCUGGAGGAAUACCGAUGGCGAAGGCAGCCAUCUGGCCUAAUACUGACGCUGAGGUACGAAAGCAUGGGGAGCAAACAGGAUUAGAUACCCUGGUAGUCCAUGCCGUAAACGAUGUCUACUAGCCGUUGGGGCCUUUGAGGCUUUAGUGGCGCAGCUAACGCGAUAAGUAGACCGCCUGGGGAGUACGGUCGCAAGACUAAAACUCAAAUGAAUUGACGGGGGCCCGCACAAGCGGUGGAGCAUGUGGUUUAAUUCAAUGCACCGCGAAGAACCUUACCUGGGCUUGACAUACUAGAAACUUUCCAAAAUGGAUGGGGGCCUUCGGGAAAUCAAGAAAAAGUGCUGCAGGCUGGCCUCCGCCCCCGGCCCGGGAAUGUUGGGUUUAUGCCCCCCAAAAAGGCGCAACCUUUUUUUCUUUUUUUGCCCCCUUUCGAGAGGGAAAUUUUUAGGUAUCUGCCCGCUGGAAAAGUGGGGGGAAGGGGGGGGGAAACACCCAAAUUUUUUUGGGCCCUUUUGGCCGGGGGGUCCCCCCGGUAAAAGGGGGGGAAA